CCCAUGGCGACCAGGAUGGUCUCCCCCUCCCAAAUCUAGCACGGUCUCCCAAAUCUCCCUCUGCUCCUCAAGAGCACGGAUCUGGGGUGCCCAUCAGGGGACGAGUCUGGGCGAAGGUCGGUGGUUCGUUCGAGCAAGAUCGCGUCGGGGUGGGCGCCGCGUGAGCUUCUCCUCGUCAGGGUGUGGAGGAGGGCAG